UUAUCGAUGGUCGCUUGUCACCUUUCGUAAAAUCAAUGAAACAGUGAAAUCGUCUCCUGUUCGCUGUCGUCGUCACCACCGCAGGGCGCAGCGUCCGCAGCAUGCGUGAAUGUAGAUAGACGUAGUCGUGGAUAAGACGAUCUUAUUUCACCUUUUUAACAAAAUUGUUCUCUUUUCAACCCCCUGUUGCGUUACGAUGAUCGUCGAUAAGCUUGGAUAAAAUAUCUUGCGCGUGAGUUGUCAAAGAUAGUGCGAAGUUGCACGACUUAUAUCUCGCUGGAGUCUCAGGCCUCUGCUCAGGCCGCUCAAGGAAUAUCUCACGACGACGUGCCAUUACAACCAAGAACUGGAUCGUCAGAUCGACUCGCCUAACGUCUUCGUUUCACGGAUGUUGCGCGCGUUCUUGCGAGGAACCAGGUCCUCUUGAUGCGGAUCGAGUCGUCCGUCGGGAUGGAGCAGAGGUUGUCGAACCCGUCGAGACCGCCGCCUCAGAUUCCGCCGAAUCACUCGAGGAAGAAUAAGAGACGAUCCAGCCGUAGGAGCAACCUGCUGGACACAAUACAGGACACGUGGCCGAAUACUUCACAGAGUAAUCAGGACGGUGGCCUAGUACCUGGUAUGGAGUAUCCUCCAAGGCAGAUGCUGUGGCAACCGACAGACGUACAGAACGUAUCGGGUAAUGGACAACGUCUAUUCACCGCGAUGUCGGAUCCGAGCGUCUGCGGCUAUUCACCGAUGCCUAUGACGUAUACUAUGCAGCCGGUCUCACUGCCUACAAUGUACAGAAUGUAUCAGCCGAUGCCGGUGCCAAACAUUAGAACCGUCCACAGUAGACAAAGGCAUCACUGUAAUAAGCACUUGACGAAUGUUCGUCCUAAUGUCAAUAAUAUUGUUAAUGGUUAUGGGAAUCUACAAGAAAACGGAGUUUUGGAAUCUGCUGUACACAUGGCUCUUCAAAACGGAGAUUAUGCCAGUCUACCAUCUACCGCUAACAAAGACAAUGGCGUCAAUGGCGACGAACUUAAUUCGGAGCACAGAAGAUACUCUGAUCCUGGAUUGGGACCUGCUGGGCCUUCGGCUCACUCAGACAGUGAUGAUUCCGAUAGUGUUGAGAGUGGAAGUUCCAUAACGACAAUUAGCCGUAGUAAUAAACUUGUCCUGUCACUUAUUGAACAGAUGACAGAACUAAAAAAAUGUAACAACCAAUUGUUUAAAGAACUUAGUGAAGCUAAGUCGAAUGUAGAGAAUGUCAAAGCAAAAUUGGCACAAUGUAGACAUAGUACUCCUGCGGAUUAUCAACCUGGAAUGUUAUCAGAACUUAUACGUGAAAUCAGAGAAGCUAACAGGAAUUGUGAAGAAGGUUUAGUUACAACAGUUAAAUCUAUGUUGGAAGAGAAAUGUAAUCAACAAGCAAAAGAAGUGGACGAGCUGAAGAAUCAAUUGGCGAAGAUUUUAAAAGAGAAAGAGGAAAGUGAUCAACGUGUCGCAAAACUGGAAGAGGAAGUGAUGGCAUUGAAACUGAGCGCGACCAAUGAAGGUCGCGAGAUCGCAGUCUUCGAGGAGGAGAAUCUGGCGCUGCGACGGGAGCUCCAGGAGGCACGGGCAUCCAGGACCCUGGCCGAGAACCACGCAGCAAAGUGCGUAAACUUUGCGGUAUCCAGAUCUGUCACGCCUGUAACUUUCGAUACGCCCUGUAUAACCAGCACCCCCGUGCGUACCGCUCUUACCGAUACUCGCUUCCUGUUCCCCGCCAUCCCACUCGCAUCGCACACAUUCUCCAUCUCUUCCGUUCUACGUCCCCGUUCUGCGGAGGUGGCGGUUCUUCCACUCGUCCCCGAGAUGGCGAAUCAAUGUCCAAAUUCUACGACCGACUCCGAACCUGUAUCCUGUGAAGAUAUGUCUCCGACGAAGGGAAGUACGUGGUCAGAAAUGUCUUUGUCCUGUAAAUCUGUUGAAACACAAUGCACAAACAAUAAUAUGGUUGAAGUAUGGAAAACUAUGAAAUCAUUAGAACAUAUUUGCGAAUUUCUGGGCACGUCAGUAUUGGGCAACUUUGAUCAGAACGAAGCGCAUGACGUCGACACUACAAGAGACGAUGGUAAAGUGAAGCCGUUGAUGAUGGCUGAAGAUGAAAAAAGAACGAAGUACUUAUUGACUGAUACCUCUGAGAAACCUGUCGAUCAGCUAUUCGAAAUAUGUGAAGCAAAGGUGCCAUCAGUGGAAAAAGAUGAAGCACAAGAUUUUGCAUCAUUUAAAGUCUUUGAGGAACAAAAAUAUCCGCCGGAAAAAAUGAGCGACGUUACGUGCGAAGUAGAGAAAUUGAUCAAUUAUUCGGAUAAUCACAAUUGUUGGCAGAAAUGGUGCAGGUUUCACAAUCAGCGAGGCAGCUUUAAGAAACCACGACGAAAGAAGGGAAAUUUAAGAAGGUUGUUCAGUGAAAGCGAUAAAGAUCCACGUCAGGACACCAUGCUUUCGACCGGGCCAUUAUGUUCCUUCGAAAGCAAUUGCGAUACCGCGGACGAGGACGAAGAUUGUUUUCCCAAUGAUGAUCGCACAAGUCGAGCCAUCACCGAUGUACCGGAUGUCGUUGUGAUCGGUGGUAACUCCAUCGUCCCGAAAGACCUCUGUUCGACGAGAACCCUGAUUUCCAGAACCCAAACAGCACCUUCACGUGCCACCUACACCACCGCCUAUAUCUAAAUUACGCGCGUACGCGCGGGGCCCCGAGCAAAAAGACAAAAAGAAAGUCAUACACCACGCUACUCGUCGCCAAUAUCCGCGAAAAGGGGCUUCAAGGGGCUUUUUACUAGAGGCUACUACUAUGUAUCGAAUAGCACACUGGAGAAGCUGGUGAAGAUACUACAUAAAAAGGUGAACGGUGCCAUGGCCACGGAAACGGUAAACAGGAUUUGCGA
rnacentral:misc_RNA from 1 species